rnacentral:rRNA from 1 species
GACGAACGCUGGCGGCGUGCCUAAUACAUGCAAGUCGAGCGAAGUUUUUCUGGUGCUUGCCCUAGAAAAACUUAGCGGCGAACGGGUGAGUAACACGUAAAGAACCUGCCUCAUAGACUGGGACAGCUAUUGGAAACGAUAGCUAAUACCGGAUAACAGUAUUUCUCGCAUGAGAGAGAUUUAAAAGUUGUUUAUGCUAACACUAUGAGAUUGCUUUGCGGUGCAUUAGCUAGUUGGUGGGGUAAAGGCCCACCAAGUCGACGAUGCAUAGCCGACCUGAGAGGGUGAUCGGCCACACUGGGACUGAGACACGGCCCAGACUCCUACGGGAGGCAGCAGUAGGGAAUCUUCCGCAAUGGGCGAAAGCCUGACGGAGCAACGCCGCGUGAGUGAAGAAGGAUUUCGGUUCGUAAAGCUCUGUUGUUAGGAAAGAAUGGAUAUGUGGUAACUAUACAUGUAAGAGACGGUACCUAACCAAAAAGCCACGGCUAACUACGUG